rnacentral:lncRNA from 1 species
GACAGCAACUCCAAUAAUUCCAAGAGAUUUUUAUAUCUCAGAUCUCAAAAUCAAGAAUUAGACAAUAUCCAUUAAAGAAAUUAGCACAAGAAGGCCUGUUUUCCCCCAAUGGAAUAACUCCCAAACCCGGAUAAAUAGGUCUCAUUAUGUACACCAAACACAGCUAAGAGUAGAAUCCAAAAAGAAUUGUUUUUACAAGAUUCUUUGCACACUCUCAAAGGUUACCCUCAAGAAAACACUAAAAAAAUAAGUCACCAUUAUAGAGAAAGGUAUAUACCAUCUACCAGAGCUGUAAAAGUAUUGCAAUUUGAUAUUCAUUGCCAAACUGCGCAAACAAGGAACGUUCACUUUAACCCAUAAAUUUUUGUUUGAUGGUUUUAGGUCUAAAGAUAUUACAUUUCAAGAAAACAAUAAACCAAAAUGUAUAUGGAAAACCACAGUAAAAUAGCCCGUCAAAGCCAAAAAUACUGUUUGAUAAUGUUUGAGCUAAAAGUUUUGCAACUCAAAAUAUUUACUGUGAAAGAAAAACAAUGGAUGGCAGUUGAUCUCUCAAUUUGCUGAGAAAUGGAAAUCCGGAGGAGGGUCUCAAUCAGUUUUGACUUGCAAUAAUUGAAGUGAACAGCAGAUUAAGAAACACUAAAUUGUACCAGUUAAAGUCGAAGAAACUGUACAUUAAAAACAAGAUUAUUAUAAUAAUAAACGAGAAAGAAUAAGUUACAGAAGAAAUGCAGAUCCCAAAGCUCAAGAUAACCCUUCAGUUCUGCCAAGUCUGCAAAAGUAGAGUGGGCAGAAAACCUUCUUCUCUAACCUUUUCUACUAAAAAGAAAUGGCUCCCUCAUUCAUUAACACACUUCAAAUUAAUUAUAUUAAAGAUUCUUAACUUCAAAAUUUGUAAUAAGAAAAAUUAUAAGCAUGUAGUAAUGAGUAGCUUUUUGGGUUUUUA